ACACUAUGUUUGCACUGUUUGGAACUGUUCACAUGUUGGUUCCCGGCAGUAAAACUGCUGGAACUAACAUGUGAACAGUGUCAAACAGUGUCAAAUAGUGU
rnacentral:pre_miRNA from 1 species